CACAUUUGGAGGGAAAGAAUGUCAAAAUGUUUAGGAAGCAUAAUAAUUCUACUGAUCAGGUGAGUUGGAUGAUUAUUCAAGAUGUGAAAUUAAAAUUGGCUGCUCAAGACAUCAGGGUUGAUGAUAAUUCCCAGACUAAAUCGUUUUUUCUUUCAAUGGAAUAUGCCUUGUCUGUUCCAACUAACAGUGGAGCUGAGAUGUACUUGUUAAGAUCUGGAGGGGAUACUGUUAUGAUUACAAGUGGGUCUUUGGGUGAAGAUCUGGGAGGUUAUGGAGCUAAAAUUAGAGGCAACCCUGGUGUUUGUGUUUUUGUUGUUGUGUGGUAUAGCAAUGACAAUUAUGUUCUUGGUCAUGAGUUACGGGGAGUUGAAGUUGGUAUGAUGGCGGACAAUUAUAUGGGAUUUAGCAGAGUCCAUUUUGGAAUGGAUUCCAUGACAGAUGUGGUGCUUCUAAAUAAUAGUGGCCGUACUCCUCACUGGAAUGUGCAGUACGUAUAUCUGGAGACACAUUGUUAGACCAAGGAAGCAGUUUGAUUAGAUAAAACUUAAACAUGUCUAUUAUGAGACUAAUAGAGCCACAUAGCUGGUAUUAAUCCACCUUCCUCUUUUGAGGUGUUAGAUCAGAAGCAGUUAGGGGACGGCUUUGCUCAUCCUUCUUCACUCAUCAGAUCUAUUCUUCAGUUUAAUCCCACCAACUACAAAUUCUCAUUAGCAGUGAAAAAUCAUCAGAUCCAUUAGAUCCAUCUCGGUUCGACUAAGGAUAAUAGUUCCGAUGAUUGAUUUUGUUAAUAGAGAAUAAAACCAUUUUUUUUUCAUUUUCUUCAUUAUUUUCUUCAAAGAUUAUCUCGAUUUUUCCUAUCGAUUCUCUCGUCUGAGAUGAGUUUCUAUCUCGUCUUUGGGUUUGUUGGAUAUUUUAACAUAUGUCGAGAAAUUUGAUUUGGGUUUAAAGAAGUUUUUCUCUGCUUGAGUGUUUGUGGGUUUUUGAUGCUUAAAGUUAAAAGUUUUUAUUUUUAUUUUUUGUAGAAAUCUGAACUAUCUCCUCUUUCAGUUCUUCUCACAAUCAUCUGAACUAUCUUUUUUGUUUCUUCUUUUGUUUUUUCAUUCUUUUUCACAAAGUAAUUUCAGAUCUAUAUACUUGAGUUUCAAAUAUACCCUAAACUUACCCGAAAUCCUCAUAUCUGCAAACCCUUUUUAGAGAAAUCAAAUCCAUCUUUGAAUAACCUGGUUUCACAAACCUUAUAGAGUACAUUUUGAGACUCAGAGAAGAUUAAGUAUAAAUCCUAUAUUUGCAAUUUUUUGAGAAGAAGAAUCAGGUAAACUUCUCCAUCUCACUACUGGCUUGAUUUGGCUUUGCAUCUCUCUUUAUCUAUCUUUGUCUUUUAAUUCUACUUUGGCGAUUAAGUGAUCUAUUGUGAUGCAGUGAUGUUGAUUCAAGAAUUUUUUCAUGGCCAAACAAUUGAUGGAUAAGGCGAUUAUUAGAAUUACUGGGUGUAUUUCAACUCUAUUCAAUCAAUUCCCCUUUUCAUUUGGAACUUGGGUUUUCCUUAAUUGUUAAACUGGAUCUUAGCUUAGGAUCUGUAUGUUUGCAGAUGUUAUUUGGGUGAUUUGUUAGUCUAAGUUCACUUGGAUCUGUUUGUCUGAAAUGCAUAAUCACUACAUUCCUUUAAUGGGUUUUUAUAUAUUGUAUCUAAUAUCACGCAUCGUCUGUGAGAAAUUAGUACUGCCAAUUUCCAAGAUGUUCUUUGUAGUUUCAUAUCUUAAGUCGAUCACAUUCAUUUUAAAUAUUUAAGUUCUAAAACAGAAUUCCUGUAAUAUGUGAAAUUGUAAAAUGCACAAAGAAUUUAAUUCUCUAAGUAUCCAUGAAUUGUGAGUUUCGUGUUUACAUGAGUUUUAAAUGGUGUUGUUUGAAUAGCUCUACUGCUGGUCAAGAGUAAUUUGGUGGCCUUAUGGUGUUUACAUGAGUUUUAAUUCAGGUCCAGGCCUUUAGGAGUCUUGAGUUCUAUAUUUGCUACUAUGUAUGCGGAGACUUUAGAAAGAGGCAUAACCAUUGCCGCCAGAGUGCCAUUUAUAAUUCGUUCUAUUUCAUUGUAGCCGUUAUACCACAAUGGUCUCGGUUGCUCCAGUGUCUCCGUCGGUGGGUUGAAGAGAAAGAUGGGUCUCAGGCAUACAACGGUUUAAAAUACCUCUUGACAGUAAUUGCAGUCCUAAUCAGGACAGAGUUCGAUUUAAAGAAGGGAACGAGUUGGAGAGUUGCAACUAUAGUGAGCUCUGCCAUUGCAGCAAGCAUGAGUACUUAUUGGGACAUCGUCAAGGAUUGGGGGCUUCUUCAACGGCAUUCAAAGAACCCUUGGCUGAGAGACAAACUUCUCAUCUCACACACUAGUGUCUACUUCAUAGCCAUGGUGCUUAAUGUCAUUCUCAGACUUGCUUGGCUGCAAUCUGUUUUGAACUUCCAUGUGCCAUUCUUGCAUCGAAGAGCCUUAACCACCAUAGUAGCAUGUCUGGAGAUUCUUGGUCGAGGGAUGUGGAAUUUCUUCAGGUUGGAGAAUGAGCACUUGAACAAUGUUGGAAAGUUCUGCGCUUUCAAGUCAGUCCCACUCCCUUUCAGUUACGAUGAUGAAGGUAGUAGUAGUAGCAAGGGUGACAAGCAAACCAACAGAUGAAACGUUACAACAACAUCCAGAAAUGAUUUGCUAGUCCGUUGGUCCAGCUAAGCACAAAGCUAAAAACCACAUAGUGUAUACAGAAAUCAUUUUUUUUCCUCCAAACCACAUUGAGGCUAUAGAUCCUGAUUACUUUAAAAAUUUAAAAUGGAUGCUUGAGAAUGACAUUAGUGAUGUGCAAGACCUAACUUUCAGCAUGGACGCCGACGAGGAGAAGCUGAUAUUAUAUGAGAGGGCUGAGGUCACUGAUUAUGAACUGAUUCCUGGUGGUACUGAGCACAUUAGCUAAUGAUACAGAGAUAAAUAUAAUACUGAGUUUCCUCCAUGUUCGUCUAGGCCAUGAAAUUCUUUACUUAGGAAAAAUGAGUAUUUCCUUGUAUGGAAUUCUGACAUGAAACUGAGACAAAUUGUCUCAACUUUUAAGUAAUUUUUGAAUUCAGCCUAAUGGCUUCUUAAAUGGCCCUCCAAAUUGAUCCUAGUGAUGCAGUUGUACUAUCUAAUAGGAGUUUGUGUUAUGUCUACUGAAUGUAUAUUUAAAGCUUCAAAGUGAGUUUGGACAUCUAGAUUGUCUAUGGAAGAUUCUCAACAACGAAUUGAUGGCUGAACCUUGCUUCUCGAUUGAGUUGGGCCAGUUAGUUAGCGAUCGAAGGCAUAAAUGGUGAAGUCUUGCAGGUGCUUCUGGUAAGAAAGGUGGUUAGUGUGAAUUAGUAAUGAUAAGUGUGCUAGCUACCUCUUUUUCUAAUUGAAGAGUCGGACAAUCUUUAUAAGCCUACUUCUGUCGAAGAGGUGAGAUUGUAUUGCAGGCAGAAAUUGCAAUUUUGUUUCAGGUUAUUUGUAUUGCAGGCCUGUAAACUGAAAGUGUAGGUCCAUCAUGAUGACCUGUACUGCAGGCCUGUAAAAUGGAAGCCCGGAUCCAUGAAAAUUAUCCGGGCUAUCCAUUUUUUUUUAAUUGUAAUUUAAAGAAUUGUCACUGGAUUAACUGUAACAAGAGUUCAAAUCUGUUCACACUCCUUUCACGAGUGUAUAUUUCACAUUCACUUCUGAUUGGUUGAUUAUUUAA